CGGUGUGAUCAUACCAGCACUAAUUCACCGGAUCCCAUAAGAACUCCGCAGAUAAGCGUGCUCGGGCGAGAGUAGUACUUGGAUGGGUGACAUCUUGGGAAGUCCUCGUGUUGCACCUC
rfam:Lupinus angustifolius cultivar Tanjil contig_1837, whole genome shotgun sequence.